rnacentral:rRNA from 1 species
UUGACGGGGCCCGCACAAGCGGUGAGCAUGUGGUUUAAUUCGACGCAACGCGAAGAACCUUACCAGGGCUUGACAUCCCCUGACCGCGUAUGAAAGUACGUUUUCACCCUCGGGUGACAGGGAGACAGGUGGUGCAUGGUUGUCGUCAGCUCGUGUCGUGAGAUGUUGGGUUAAGUCCCGCAACGAGCGCAACCCCUACGUUUAGUUGCUAACGCGUGAAGGCGAGCACUCUAGACGAACUGCCGUUGACAAAACGGAGGAAGGUGGGAUGACGUCAAAUCAUCAUGCCCCUUAUGUUCUGGGCUACACACGUGCUACAAUGGCCGGUACAGACGGACGCAAAGCCGCGAGGUGGAGCAAAUCCUAAAAAGCCGGUCUCAGUUCGGAUUGCAGGCUGCAAUUCGCCUGCAUGAAGUCGGAAUCGCUAGUAAUCGCAGGUCAGCAUACUGCGGUGAAUACGUUCCCGGGCCUU